rnacentral:rRNA from 1 species
AUUGAACGCUGGCGGCAGGCUUAACACAUGCAAGUCGAGCGGGGUGAUGGUGCUUGCACUAUCACUUAGCGGCGGACGGGUGAGUAAUGCUUAGGAAUCCGCCUAUUAGUGGGGGACAACAUCUCGAAAGGGAUGCUAAUACCGCAUACGUCCUACGGGAGAAAGCAGGGGAUCACUUGUGACCUUGCGCUAAUAGAUGAGCAUAAGUCGGAUUAGCUAGUUGGUGGGGUAAAGGCCUACCAAGGCGACGAUCUGUAGCGGGUCUGAGAGGAUGAUCCGCCACACUGGGACUGAGACACGGCCCAGACUCCUACGGGAGGCAGCAGUGGGGAAUAUUGGACAAUGGGGGGAACCCUGAUCCAGCCAUGCCGCGUGUGUGAAGAAGGCCUUAUGGUUGUAAAGCACUUUAAGCGAGGAGGAGGCUCUUUUGGUUAAUACCCAAGAUGAGUGGACGUUACUCGCAGAAUAAGCACCGGCUAACUCUGUGCCAGCCGCCGCAGUAA